rnacentral:rRNA from 1 species
UACGUAGGGGGCGAGCGUUACUCGGAAUUACUGGGCGUAAAGCGUGCGCAGGCGGCGCGUUAAGACAGGUGUGAAAGCCCCGAGCUUAACUUGGGAAUUGCGCUUGUGACUGGCGUGCUGGAGUGUGGCAGAGGGAGGUGGAAUUCCACGUGUAGCAGUGAAAUGCGUAGAUAUCAGGAGGAACACCGAUGGCGAAGGCAGGUCUCUGGGCUGACACUGACGCUCAUGCACGAAAGCGUGGGGAGCAAACAGG